UACGUAGGGGGCAAGCGUUAUCCGGAUUUACUGGGUGUAAAGGGAGCGUAGACGGCCAGACAAGUCAGAAGUGAAAGCCCAGGGCUCAACCCUGGGACUGCUUUUGAAACUGCCAUACUGGAGUGCCGGAGAGGUAAGUGGAAUUCCUAGUGUAGCGGUGAAAUGCGUAGAUAUUAGGAGGAACACCAGUGGCGAAGGCGGCCUGCUGGGCUUUUACUGACGCUGAGGCUCGAAAGCGUGGGUAGCAAACAGG
rnacentral:rRNA from 1 species